AACUAUCAAAACACUUUUCUUGGGUGUUUUGGACUUUGGGAGUAUAUUGCUGGUCUGUUUGAGCCAGCUCUCCUCAAAAGCAUUAGCUUUGGAGACCAUCAGUGUGAUAAUUUAUUUACACUGACUUGAGUGUCUCAGCUUCUCCUUUCGAUGCCC
rnacentral:misc_RNA from 1 species